UAGGGAAUCUUCCGCAAUGGGCGAAAGCCUGACGGAGCAACGCCGCGUGAGUGAAGAAGGAUUUCGAUUCGUAAAGCUCUGUUGUUAGGGAAGAAUGAUUGUGUAGUAACUAUACACAGUAGAGACGGUACCUAACCAGAAAGCCACGGCUAACUACGUGCCAGCAGCCGCAGUAAUACGUAGGUGGCAAGCGUUGUCCGGAAUUAUUGGGCGUAAAGCGCGCGCAGGUGGUUUAAUAAGUCUGAUGUGAAAGCCCACGGCUCAACCGUGGAGGGUCAUUGGAAACUGUUAAACUUGAGUGCAGGAGAGAAAAGUGGAAUUCCUAGUGUAGCGGUGAAAUGCGUAGAGAUUAGGAGGAACACCAGUGGCGAAGGCGGCUUUUUGGCCUGUAACUGACACUGAGGCGCGAAAGCGUGGGGAGCAAACAGGAUUAGAUACCCUGGUAGUCCACGCCGUAAACGAUGAGUGCUAAGUGUUGGUCUCAUAAGAGAUCAGUGCUGCAGCUAACGCAUUAAGCACUCCGCCUGGGGAGUACGACCGCAAGGUUG
rnacentral:rRNA from 1 species